CAUGCUUGCCACUUUUUACCUGGCACCUAGACAGGUAUGAAAAGGCGUAGGAAGACCAAUUAAGACCAAAGCUACUUAAGAGACAGCUUCUGGCUGCUGACAUGAGCUCUGUUUCCCUCGGCCUCUGUAAGGACACUCAGGCUCCCCAAGUGCAGCUUUUGUGCAGGACAUUCCCUUCUUCAAUCAUCAACAUGAAUGCAAUUGUGGACACCAGCAUAUUUUUGGGAAAAUUUCUAUAUUACCUUUUUGAGUCUUUAGUUUGCAAGAUAAUUCCCAAAAACAAAAAGAACGUUGCUGGAGAAAUUGUACUUAUAACAGGAGCUGGAAGUGGACUUGGGAGGCUCUUGGCCAUACAUUUUGCCAACCUUGGGGCCAUUUUAGUCCUCUGGGACAUUAAUCAAGAAGGCAAUAUGGAAACAUGCAGAUUGAUCAAAGAAAAGAGUGAUGUGAAAGUCUUUCCCUAUAAGUGUGACUGUAGCAAGAGGCAAGAGGUCUACAGAGUCGCUGAUCAGGUCAGGAAAGAAGUUGGUGACGUGACCAUCCUCAUUAACAAUGCAGGCAUCGUAACAGGAAAGCCCUUCCUGGACAUUCCAGAUCACAUGGUGGAAAAAUCAUUCCUUGUCAAUGCCUUCGCUCAUUUCUGGACUUGCAAGGCUUUUCUUCCUGCCAUGAUUAAAGCUAACCAUGGCCAUUUGGUCUGUAUUUCAAGUGUAGCAGGGCUAGCUGGCAUCAAAGGACUCUCAGAUUAUUCUGCAAGCAAAUUUGCAGCCUUUGGCUUUGCUGAGUCUCUAUUCCUGGAAUUAAGUUUGCAAAAGAAAACUGAUAUCAAAACCACCAUUGUCUGCCCAUAUCUCAUGAACACUGGAAUGUUUGAUGGUUGUUCAACAAAGUAUUCAUUUUUGUUACCUAUACUGGAGCCAGAAUAUGUGGCCCAAAAAGUGGUAAAUGCUAUCUUACAAGAACAAGUUUACAUAAUACUACCCAAAUUUGCAUACAUUGCCUUGAUCCUUAAACAAAUAAUAUCUCCAAAAAUGAUGCUAGCCCUUGGUGAGUACCUGGGAGCUGACACUUUCAUGGCUUCUUUCAAAGGGAGAGAGAAAGAAAAUGAACUUCAGACGGAAACCGAGAGGAAACACCAAUAACUCAAGCUUUGAAUGUGGAGGAUUUUUCUCCUAGGUUAACGUCUUAGCUCUGUUCCCCUAGUAACCAGAUUACUCACAAUACCUAAUGCAGUGCCUCCAGAUGACUCCACAUUCAUGGAUUCAGCAUGGUACCUGGCAUACAGAAAAUUCAAGUUCUGUUUUUUGGAAGCUUCUGGAAUUUUUUUCAAAUAUUUUCAGUCUGCAGUUGGCUGAACCUGAGGAUGUGGAACCCACGUAUAUGGAGGACUGAUCUUAUUUGGCAACUGACCAUAUAAUUUUGUUCCAAAUGUUUACAGAGAGUCAUGAAAUCUCUCUGACAAAAACAAGGCUGAAGUGAGUGGGUCUGAAAGUGAAUGAGUUUGGUCGCUUCUGUUACUUUUUUCCACCAAGUUCUCAAAAAGCACCUGUUAGGGCUUGAGAUGUGGCAUAGUAUGCUAAGCCUCUGCCUGUGGUGCCGGCAUCCCAUAUGGGUACUGGUUCAUGAUUGGCUGCUCCUAUUCGGAUCCAGCUCUCUGCUUACAGCAUGGGAAAGCAGUGGAGGAUGGCCCAAGCACUUGGGUCCCUGCAUCAGAAUGGGAGACCCGGAGGAAGCUCCUAGUUCCUGGCUUCAGAUCAGCUCAGCUCUGGCCAUUGCGACCAUUUGGGAAGUUGUGGGGAGCAACUGAGACUAGACUAAGUUACUGGAAUUAAGACUUAUUCUAUGCAUCUGCUCUCCCACAAUAUGGCGCUGAGAGAGAGAGACCAAACAACUUCUACACAGCUGCCUCCAGUUCGACCAAUAAACUGCAGGAGCUGAUCCUGCUCCUGAUUGGAGGAGAGCAGCGUGCUCGGCAUGUGGGCAGCAGAGUUGGGAUUGGUGGAAGAGGACUAUAAAGGAGGAGAGAGACAACAUGCACCAGGAACAUCUGAGGGAACACCUGAGGAACAUCUGAGCAGCCCCCGAGAGAGCCAGCCGGCGGUGUGCCGCUCCUCCGCGGAAGCGGGGAAAGCGGCGGGGGGUGCCGCCCCUCCACGGAGGUGGAGGGGUCGGCAGCUAACCCGGGAUGGUGUCAUUCCUCCGCGAGUGAGGGAACGGCAGCUAACCCGGGAAGGGCCGGGCAGAAAGAACAGCGCAGGGUCUAGUGUCGUUCCUCCGCGAAUGGGGGAGCGACAGGAAGUGAACCAGCAUCCGGAAGACCUCUCUCCCUCUCUUUCUCUCUCUCUCUCUCUAACUCUACCUCUCAAGUAAGUAAAUAAAAUCUUUAAAAAAAAAAAAAAAGCACCUGUUUAUGACAACACUUUUGAUAGGUAGCCACCACCUUGUUUUCUAGCACUCUAUACUUAAAAUAUGUCAUGGGCAUUCAGUGUGGGGCAGUAAGAUGCAUUUGGGCAUGUCAGUCUUGGGAACUAAAGUUCAUAACAGAAUAAUACUGAAAUAUGAAGUGACUGGGAUCCUAUAAAAGUCCUUCUAAUCUAACACACACACACAGUCAAUGGGCCAGUGUUGUGGCAUGGUGGGUUAAGCCAUAGCUUGCAACAUCUACAUAUCAAAGGACCGGUUUAAGUCCUGAAUGCCCCUCUUCCAAUCCAGCUCCCUGCUAAUAAUCCUGGAAAGGCAGCAAAGAAUGACUCAACUGGCCAUGCCCUGGUUUUUGUGGGCAUUUGGAGAGUGAACUAGUAAAUGAGAUUUCUCUCUCUCUCUCUCUCUCUCCCUUUCUCUUUCCACCUCUCUCUGUCACUCUGCCUUUCCAAUAAAUAAAUAUUUUUUAAAAACUGGUAGAUAUUAAAAUAUAUGAAAACAAUAUUUAAUGAUGAGUCAUUUUAAAAUCAAAUGCAUUUUAAAAACAGCAAAAGCUGAUAAGACAGAAGUGGGUGCUGUCUCUGAGACAGCUGGAACCUUCCAAGAGCUUUGAAAAAUAAGAGCACUUCCUUUCGCCUGAGUUCAUUUUUAAAAAUAAUUCUUUUUUUUCCCUUAAUGCUGAGAAACAGACAGAUUUUGGCUUAACAUAAGAGAGAAUUUUCUAAUAACAACAGCUGCCUGAGAUAAAAAUGACUGCUUUGAGUGUUAAUGGAGUUUUCCAUUUCUGAAAAUGAAAGGAGGUUACUGACUAAAUCAUCUGGAUCCCUACCAAUCCUGAAAGUAUUUGGGAGUGAUAGAAUUGUGUGGGGUUCGUUUUUGCAAUAAAUCUUUAUUGUGAACCACA